CCUACGGGUGGCAGCAGUGGGGAAUAUUGGGCAAUGGACGCAAGUCUGACCCAGCAACGCCGCGUGAAGGAAGAAGGCUUUCGGGUUGUAAACUUCUUUUAAGGGGGAAGAGCAGAAGACGGUACCCCUUGAAUAAGCCACGGCUAACUACGUGCCAGCAGCCGCGGUAAUACGGAGGAUGCGAGCGUUAUCCGGAUUUAUUGGGUUUAAAGGGUGCGUAGGCGGUAUGUUAAGUCAAGGGUGAAAUCCCCGCGCUCAACGUGGGAACUGCCUUUGAAACUGGCAAACUGGAGUGUGUGAGAGGAUAGUGGAAUUCCAGGUGUAGGAGUGAAAUCCGUAGAUAUCUGGAGGAACAUCAGUGGCGAAGGCGACUAUCUGGCACAUAACUGACGCUGAGGAGCGAAAGCGUGGGUAGCAAACAGGAUUAGAUACCCCAGUAGUC
rnacentral:rRNA from 1 species